GGCAAUUCUUCUGUUGCACAUGGCUUGACCAAGGUCAUGUGACGGGAUUCUGCAGGUGGCUGAGCCACUCCGGAGGAUCCAAGACAUCAUUACUCUCAUGGCUGGCUCCUCGGCAGUGAAGCCCGGAAGGCUUGAAUCAAACAGUCCUGUGUAUCAAAGUGUAUCUCUAACUAGAGGGUCUCAGAGUAGUUGUAAUUUUCACAGGGAAGCUCAGGGCUCCCAGAGACCAAGAGACCCAGGUGAAAGCUGCAAAGCUUCUUAGAAAUCCCACAAUAACACUUUUUUUGUGUCCUGUUUGGUCAAGCCAAUCACUAAGCCAAGCCCGGAUUCACUGGUCAAGGAAUUUCAAGAAACCAGAGGUGAAACAGCUUCUCCAGUUGAAAGCUAAAAGCUGGUGUCCUUGCUACAGACGUGUCCUUGGUUGCAAUGUAAGAUGAAGAACUUCAAUAAUGACCCAGCCUCCUGGCCUACAGAAGGCAAGAAUGUGGGAGUUUUACUAGGGGUAUCAGAGACGUUACCGAGGUCGCCUCAUUUCCAGCAUGACUCUAGACUUCAUUAAAUUAAUUAAUUAAG